rnacentral:rRNA from 1 species
UACGAAGGGGGCUAGCGUUGUUCGGAAUCACUGGGCGUAAAGAGCGCGCAGGCGGCUGGUCAAGUCCGAUGUGAAAUCUCCCGGCUCAACUGGGAAACUGCAUCGGAAACUGAUCGGCUUGAAGGUGGGAGAGGGUAGUGGAAUUCCCGGUGUAGUGGUGAAAUGCGUAGAUAUCGGGAGGAACACCUAUGGCGAAGGCAGCUCGCUGGGCUGACACUGACGCUGAUUGUGCGAAAGCUAGGGGAGCGAACGGG